CGGUGUCUCCAAGAAAGAUCAAGUUAAGUCGUCUCUAGCAGCGGUACAGCUCAAUCUUCAAAGCUCGACUUACUUCUUUUAAAAAUGACGUACAAAAUUGCCAUUUAUUGUCUUCUUCUUGUAGCCUUGAUUGGAUUGGUAUCGGCGGCUCCGCAAAAUAGAAGAUCGUAAUUGGGUUACAGACAUUUUUGUGAAAGGCAAACAUUCCCCGAUGGUUCAACCAAGUCAAGAUGGUGGACUGACGGAAGAUUAAUUCAACUCCCGUCCGGAUGGAGAGGAUUGGGUACAGAGGCAAGCUCGACCAAUGGAAGAGUAAUUACGCUUACCAAAAAUUGGUUUGCACUUGAUAAAAGGUCUCCUGGAGGCAGUCUGUGCUAAUUUGAUAAAUUCAAAACCAAAUAGAAAAUUCAAAACUGUUCAUCACAUUUAUUCGGUGUUGGUUUGAAAAAAAAAAUUAACUAAUCCAAGCAGAAAAAAUAAAUCGCUUUACCACAUGUAAAAGAAUAUCAGUCUUCUCACUCUAAUACACAGUAAAAUCUUCA